CUUACCUAAGCUUGACAUCCCAAUGAUAUCUCCUUAAUCGGAGAGUUCCCUUCGGGGACAUUGGUGACAGGUGGUGCAUGGUUGUCGUCAGCGCGUGUCGUGAGAUGUUGGGUUAAGUCCCGCAACGGGCGCAACCCUUGUCUUUAGUUGCCAUCAUUAAGUUGGGCACUCUAGAGAGACUGCCAGGGAUAACCUGGAGGAAGGUGGGGAUGACGUCAAA
rnacentral:rRNA from 1 species